rnacentral:rRNA from 1 species
UACGUAGGGGGCAAGCGUUGUCCGGAAUCAUUGGGCGUAAAGGGUGCGUAGGUGGCGCGCUAAGUCAGGUGUGAAAUUUCGGAGCUUAACUCCGAAACUGCAUUUGAUACUGGCGUGCUUGAGGACUGGAGAGGAGACUGGAAUUCAUGGUGUAGCAGUGAAAUGCGUAGAGAUCAUGAGGAAGACCAGUGGCGAAGGCGGGUCUCUGGACAGUUCCUGACACUGAGGCACGAAGGCCGGGGGAGCAAACGGG